rnacentral:rRNA from 1 species
UACGGGGGGUGCGAGCGUUGUCCGGAUUUAUUGGGCGUAAAGAGUUCGUAGGCGGUCCGUUAAGUCUGAUGUUAAAGAUCGGGGCUCAACCCUGGGAGUGCAUUGGAUACUGGCGGACUGGAGUGCGGUAGAGGCUAGUGGAAUUCCCAGUGUAGCGGUGAAAUGCGUAGAUAUUGGGAAGAACACCAGUGGCGUAGGCGACUAGCUGGGCCGUAACUGACGCUGAGGAACGAAAGCCAGGGGAGCGAAUGGG